rnacentral:rRNA from 1 species
AGCUCCAAUAGCGUAUAUUUAAGUUGUUGCGGUUAAAAAGCUCGUAGUCGUAUUUCGGGUGCCGCUGCCUGGUCCGCUCGUCGAGAGUGUGCAUCGGGCGGCGGCAUCUUUUUGUGCGGGCCGCGCUCCUGGGCUUGAUUGUCCGGGACGCGUGCCGCACGAGGUCACUUUGAGUAAAUUAGAGUGUUUAAAGCAGGCGUGCGCUGUGCAUAUGUCAGCAUGGGAUGACACGAUAGGACCUCGGUCCGUGCGUCGGUUUGCGGGUCCGGGGUAAUGAUCGAUAGAGACGAUUGGGGGCGUUCCUAUUCCGUUGUCAGAGGUGAAAUUCUUGGAUUUACGGAAGAGGAUCAACUGCGAAAGCAUUCGCCAAGGGCGUCCUCG